GUGAGUAAGGGCCAAGUCGGGGGAGGCCUUGGAGAUUUAGCAAGCCGGGGCGAGAGGCAGCUGUGAGGAGGCUGCUUCUAAGGUACAGGGCGAAACUGGGGUUCGCUCCCUCGUGACCCGGGGUUUGGAGGGCAUCUUGAAGAGACACUGGGAGAUCGUAGCCCUAGAGUCGCCCCUUGUUUUCUACACUCUCUCUCUUCCCUGGAGAGUCACCUACAGCUUGUCUCGGAGAGCGUCGCUUCCCAGGUGCAAGGGCCAGGGACUUAGGAAGAGGGGCCAGCUGUGGACUUUGGGCAAAUGCAACCCCAGAAUGACUUGAAAGUAGGGCAUCUUUGGCCCUCCUGAAGAGAGGAAAUUAAAGGCGGACAGUCUGUGUAUGGAGUUUUCAGAUACCUUCACCUAAGUGAGAAACCUGCCUUCAUCAGGACCUCAGAUGUCUGACAGCCCUGUGUGACACCAAGAGAAGUAGUGGUUGAAACUACUGUCAAUGGACUGUUGCAUUGAAAUUUUGGAUCAUGUCUCACAUUUUAAUCAGGAAAAUAGGACCCCAGAGGAAUAAAUUCUGCAGGUCCCAAAGGCACAUAAAAAAGUGGCUCAGUGCCUAGGAAUUCACAUAAAGGAAAACAACCUGGAUCCCAUUGAGGAUAUUACAUUUAGUCAUCACGUCUCCUUAGACUCCUCUUGGCUGUGACAGCUUCUUAGACUUUCUUUGUUUUUGAUGAGCUUGAGUUUUGGGUCAGGUGUUUUGUAAAAAGUCCCUUCAAUUAGGAUUGAGUUUUUCUCAGGAUUAGGCUAGGCAUUAAGGAAUUUUGAGAGAACACAGAAGUAAAGUGCCAUUCUCAUCAUGUAUCAAGAGUGUAUACUAUCAAUAUGAUUUUCUCCUAUUGAUGUUAAUCUUGAUCACCUGGCUGAGGUCUUAUUUGCCAGUUUUCUCCACUGUAAAGUUACUCCCCCUCACCCAACACUGUACUCUUUGGGAAUAAAGUCACUAUGUGAAGCCCAUAAUUAAGGAGAGGGGAGUUGUGUUCUCCUUGAGGGUAGAAGGUCUACAUAAGUUAUUUGGAAUUCUUCAGAAAGAAAUUGGUCUCUUCUCCCUCAUUUAUUCAAUUUAUACUUUAGGAAAAAAAUCCAAUAAUACUUAAUUUUGUUAAAGUGUUCCAGAUUUGGCCUUUGGGAGCUGUUUCAGGUGGCUCCUAUGUCCCUUCAAUAUGCCCCCAUCAUUGUGAGGUUGUUUUAAGCACUUCUCACUAUGGCCCUAUACGAUGGUUCAGGCUCAUCUUGUAUUUUUCCUGUCCCAGUCCCAGAGUCAACCAUUUGGUUGUAAGUUUUAUCCUGGUACUCACAAGGAGCCCUGCUUCCUUUAUUGGAGAAUAAUACUAAGGAACCAAGAUCUGGGCACUAGAUGUGCUCUUGGUACUGAGGUUUUGUUGCUUCUAGGCCCUAUCAGCUGAUAGAACACUGAAGUAUAUAUGUAUGCAUAUAUAAGGAUCCUAACCAGGAUCCUUAGUUUAUAGCCCCCUAUAUUCUAUAAAUGUUCCACUUUUAAUAAUGACAUUUUAUUCUAUGGUCUUUGUUUAUUCUCUUUCAUCUAGAAUAGUGGUUGAGCUGUUGUCUUUUAUAGCAGAUGCUGUAGUUCCCAGAUGACUGAUUAUUUUUACCCUAUGAGCUCACAGUAGAGGAUGGGAAUUUUGUGUCAGCUGCCGGUAGAGAGGAGCCAAGCCCAGGCCCUGGUGUCCUAAAGAGUUGAAGGAGAAGAGAGAGAGCCUUAAGGCACAGAACCUCUGAGUUAGAAUCAGGGCUUCACCAGAGCAGCAGAUGGUCAAACUGCUUCUCCUUCCCCUCAGUUGCAAUUCUCUCAAGAACUCCAGGUGCUAGUAAGUAAGGUUGCAUUAUGCUGGCCACUCCAGCAAGUGAUGAGUUGAACAUGAGGCAAUGAAUAGGAUAGGGGAAAAGAACAGAAGUUUCGUCACCACCAAGAUUACCCCUACUCCCAUGGCACUCUACCCUUUUCUACACUGGACUUCCAUUUCUUGCCCUUGUAUAGUGGGACCCAAUCAUGAUCUGUUUCUCCAAGGGACUCUUCAUAUUUAAUUUCUCAGAUCUCUAACUUCCCUCUUAUUUGUGUAAUACCUCCAGGGCUGAGUUAGAGGAAGAGGCAAUAGCCUAUGGUAAUUACUCAUCUUGUCAAACUGGUCAUUUAAUAGAUACCCUUUAUCGGUUUAUUAGUUUUAUUAACUGAAUUCUGUUAGACAUUGGGGAUAAGUGAUGAACAAACACAUUCUCUGCUCACCUUAAUAUGUACAGUCUAGCCUUUAUCUCUCUCGCCUCAUCUUUGCCACCUUGGUUUCUUUCAGUCCUUGAUAAGCCUUUUACUACGAGGUCUCUGCGCAUGCUGUUUCUGUCUGGGUCCAUCUUCUCUACUUUGUCUAAUUUGAGAUCUCGGCUCAGACAGCACUUCUGCAGAGAAGCCACCUUUCCUGACUGAGCACCCAUUAUAUGUGUAAUUGCACUGUUUUACCACAGAGCUAGAAAGUCAGCUGCCAUGUAAGAGUCCUUUGAAAAGCUGGUAUUCACCAGCUUCUAAAGAUUUACCUCAUUCCCCUAUGGCCAAGCAGGUUCAAUUCUACUGACAACUGAUUAAAGGGCCUCAGCUGGUAAAUAUUAAUGUCUGUGUGUCAUAAUGUACCCAAAAUAGAGUAAGGCCAUAGGCAUAUCCUGUUUUUUAAUAAUACCCCAGUAAAUGAGGAUAAAGAGAUUGCUGGUUUUGUUCUUUUUAAAAAAUUUUGAAACAGAAAAAUCAUAGAAACAAGUGUCAGAUUUCCUAAUCAUUUGCUAGUGGACCCUAAAGAUAUAAUAUAGUGCACAAAUAUUUGACACUAAAUUUAGCUUGAAAAAGUAUUAAAUGAACAUAGUGGAUUUGCAGAGAAUUUGUUCAAAUUUGAGACAUCUGUUAACUAAAAUAAUGUGGGAUUUUCUUUUUUUGGUAAUCUAUAAAUGUCUUUAUAGUUAAGAAAAUUAGUAAAACAUCUUUGUGUAUAAAUUAUAGCUUGCAUAGCCUCUCUUACUAGCAGUCAUUGCGCUGAUGAAUAGGUACCAGGAUAAAACUUAUAACCAGAUUUAAGUGAGUAAUUUUAACAUGUUUACUCUGGGGCUCUAUAAAAAUGAAUAAUCUUUGAAUCUAUGGUUUUGUCAUUUUAGGAUAUUCAUGUAAAUAUGCUGCAGGUCCUGUGGCACCAUAGAAUAUUGACAAUAUUUAGUGCAUGUUGACCAUGUGCCAGAACUAUUAAAUUCAUUCUACACAUCUGUUUAUCCUCUCAACAACUCUACAAGGUACAUGCUGUUAUUUGCCCAAGGUCACAUGGUUAGUGGAUCCAGGAACUACUGUGGUGUUCAAUAAAUCUGAC
ensembl:lncRNA